rnacentral:lncRNA from 1 species
UAAAUGCUUAAAUGAUGUCACUGUCCUAAACCUAUUUUGCUGGUUGUGUUUUAUUCCUUUACUCAAAAAAUUAAAAAAAAAAAAAAAGGUUUAGCUUGAUCUCCGUGGGUUCACAUGGCUUUGGGUCACGGCUAACGUGGGUUCUUCUGAAUUUCAUCUUUCUUACUCGAGUGUUGAAUUGAAGACAGCGAGGGAGCUUCAACUUUGGUCUUUUGUACACAAUAAUAAUAUUAAUAUAUAUUUAACUAAUGUACUGAAAUCACAGUUUAUUAUAAUUAGAGUAAAUUAACCUCAUAUAUAUUAAUUGGCUUAUUUAUUUAUAUAUGAUCUGUUUAUUCCCUGGCAUGCCAAUCACCAAGAGUUAGCUAGCUUUAUUUUAUGCACAUCGCAAUGCUUAAAAUGUUGGUUGCUUUCAGUUUCAAAGUAGCAAACAAAUAAGUUCAUUAAUAACGUAUAUAUACGCUCUUACAAAACCAUCUGAUUAAUUGAGUUUCCACAUCCUUAAUUAUUAAUGUAAAUACUAUCAGUCAAAAUGGCAGGUUGAUUCAUAGAGCCAAGAACGUUAAAUUUUACAAAUUAAUUUGGCAGCAUUUUUAACUUUUACACAGACCAAAUCGUGCAUCAUCAUCAUCAUCAUCAUCAUCAUCAUCAUCAUCAUCAUAAUAAUAAUAAUAAGAAGAAGAAGAAGAAGAAGAAGAAGAAGAGUAAAAGUUUGUUUACUCCUUAUAUUUUGAAAUUAGUAUUUGUUUAAUCCAUUUAUUUUUAAAAAUAACUCAAAAGAUCCAUGUUGUUAAAUUAUUGACACUCUUGCCGUAAUUUUUUGUUCCUUUUUACUUAUUUUUAAAAUAUUAUCUUCUUACAAUAAUAUUC